GACGAACGCUGGCGGCGUGCUUAACACAUGCAAGUCGAACGAUGAACUCCCAGCUUGCUGGGGGGGAUUAGUGGCGAACGGGUGAGUAACACGUGAGUAACCUGCCCUGGACUCUGGGAUAAGCGUUGGAAACGACGUCUAAUACCGGAUACGAGCUGGGACCGCAUGGUCACCAGCUGGAAAGAACUUCGGUCAGGGAUGGACUCGCGGCCUAUCAGCCAGCUGGUGAGGUAACGGCUCACCAAGGCGACGACGGGUAGCCGGCCUGAGAGGGGGACCGGCCACACUGGGGCUGAGACACGGCCCAGACUCCUACGGGAGGCAGCAGGGGGGAAUAUUGCACAAUGGGCGCAAGCCUGAUGCAGCAACGCCGCGUGAGGGACGACGGCCUUCGGGUUGUAAACCUCUUUUAGCAGGGAAGAAGCGAAAGUGACGGUACCUGCAGAAAAAGCACCGGCUAACUACGUGCCAGCAGCCGCAGUAAUAC
rnacentral:rRNA from 1 species